GGAAAAACACAGGCAUUAUGAUGUAACCUCAGGCUACUACUGGCCUUCUUUCUGAUGGCGAUGUGUCAGAAGGAUUAUCUGCUUCCAGACUGCUGUUCACCACAGGUAACGGAAAGCACGGAAAGUGAAACCAUGGAUCAAGGGAGAUUACUGUAAUGCUAUAGCAAGCCUCUUCUGGAAGAACUGGAAACCACCUGAAGUUCACAUCUUGGCAACCUGAUGCAACACAAUUUUAGCACAUAAGGAUAAAGGAGACCAAAGGCAGAGAAGCUGUAGAGAGCUCGCCUGUGCCGGAGGAUCCUCACUCACAUUAAGGAGCCUAGAGUUCCAGACGUUUUGUAUUCUAUUCCCUCCUCGUGGUCCACCUGGCAGACCCACAACCCCGUGCCCAGCAGCACAGCAACCAGCUCCCAGGCUCAGGAUUUCCUAAGUUCCAUAAAUAAGUGUUGGGAGCACUGCAGUACCAACAUAGAUUCUAAGAUGAUACCAAGUAGGAAGGCUGAUUUCCUAAUGUCCAUUUCCUUACAUGCAGCAUGUACUCAACAUCGAAGUACUUAUGAAAAUGUAUUCUUUUUCUAAGCAAAAGACACACUGACUCCAAUCCUGGCUCCAAAACAGGAACUUUUUCUCUGUUUCUUGGGUAUUUUUACUCUUGUCUGAAUAUUAUUUGUGAAAAUUAACCUAAUUUACAGUUCUCCACAGGGA
rnacentral:lncRNA from 1 species